rnacentral:rRNA from 1 species
UCCCGGAACCCGGCUACUAGUAUUGAGUCUUCCUAUAUUAAUAUAGAAGAGUUUAUGUUAGAACUAGUAACACAGAAUUUUUUCUCCCUAUGUAAGUGUAAAUCAGAUUGAAUAAGUCACUGAUAAUUAUUCGGCAAUGAAACUAACGUAACAACCCCCUCCCUGAAAACCCUACGACUUUAUCCGUUAACCUAACACAAGAACAUCAGAGAAAGAUUAAAAGACAAAGAAGGAACUCGGCAAACCUAAGUCCCGCCUGUUUACCAAAAACAUCGCCUCUUGAAAAUUAUACGAGGUUAUGCCUGCCCAGUGACUAUAUGUUCAACGGCCGCAGUAUUUUAACCGCGCGAAGGUAGCGUAAUCACUUGUUUUCUAAAUAAAGACUAGUAUGAACGGCCACACGAGGACUUAACUGUCUCCUUUGUCCAAUCAGUGAAACUGAUCCCCCCGUGCAGAAGCGGGGAUAACACCAUAAGACGAGAAGACCCUAUGGAGCUUUAAACCUAGCCAACUAUUUUUCUAAACCUCCAAGGAGCCACAACUAUUAAAUUUAAUUGAUUCAGGUUUUAGGUUGGGGCGACCAUGGAGAAAAACUUAACCUUCCUGACGACUCAUAAACUAAGAGCCACAGCUCUAAGUAUUAAGAUUCUUAACCCUCAUUGACCCACUUUGUGAUCAACGAACCAAGUUACCCUAGGGAUAACAGCGCAAUCCAUUUCAAGAGUCCCUAUCGACAAAUGGGUUUACGACCUCGAUGUUGGAUCAGGGCACCCAAGUGGUGAAACCGCUACUAAAG